rnacentral:rRNA from 1 species
AUACGUAGGUGACAAGCGUUAUCCGGAUUUACUGGGCGUAAAGGGCGUGUAGGCGGUCUUGCAAGUCAGAAGUGAAAUUCCUGAGCUCAACUCGGGCGCUGCUUCUGAAACUGCAGGACUUGAGUGCUGGAGGGGAUAGCGGAAUUCCUAGUGUAGCGGUGAAAUGCGUAGAUAUUAGGAGGAACACCAGUGGCGAAGGCGGCUUUCUGGACGACAACUGACGCUGAGGCGCGAAAGUGUGGGGAGCAAACAGGAUUAGAUACCCUGGUAGUCCACACCGUAAACGGUGGAUACUAGGUGUAGGAGGUAUCGACCCCUUCUGUGCCGGAGUUAACACAAUAAGUAUCCCACCUGGGGAGUACGGCCGCAAGGCUGAAACUCAAAUGAAUUGACGGGG